UGUUGUUGGGGGAGGGGAAAGGGAGUUCGCUUGAACGACCGUUACUUUUUUCUUCACGGCACUCGCUCACCAAGUGAAGUGAUGCAGCAACUUUCAACAGAGGAGCUUUUGAAGUCUGAGAAACACGUGUGCAGGAUGGAAUAAUCUUUGUGAAAGAGGAGGCACAGCUAUCCAGAGAAUAUGAGCAGAAUAAGUGCUAACAACGAAAGUACCUGGGAUCUAAUGGCUAUAUCAUUCAUGGAGAUGAGGCGAACAAAGGAAUGAGGAGGAGUUUGGAAGAGUUGUACAGUCCACAGAACUUGCAAGUUGCAAUAACUAUCUAUGACAGAUAUCUUACCACUGCUGUCAUAGGCGCUGUGGACACCACUACUCUUGAAUGUAAGAUACUGUAUGAGAACGUCCUGUUGAUCAAG